rnacentral:tRNA from 1 species
GGCCCUGUGGUCAAGAGGUUAAGACACCGCCCUUUCACGGCGGUAACCCGGGUUCAAUUCCCGGCAGGGUCACCA